GGCCUCCCUCUGCAGGGCGAUCAAUUGUGGGGCCCCCCGAUUGAUUGCCCUGCAGAGGAAGGCC
rfam:Myotis brandtii contig318936, whole genome shotgun sequence.